CCUGAACACACUCUCAGUAACCGGGGUAUGGUCUUACCCCAGUUAAGUGAAUAACCGGGUUAUGCCAGUUCUCCCCGUAUACAUGAGUGGGGAAGAAUGG